rnacentral:rRNA from 1 species
UACAGAGGUCUCAAGCGUUGUUCGGAUUCAUUGGGCGUAAAGGGCGCGUAGGCGGCGGGGUAAGUCGGGUGUGAAAUCUCAGAGCUCAACUCUGAAACUGCACUCGAUACUGCUCUGCUUGAGGACUGGAGAGGAGACUGGAAUUCACGGUGUAGCAGUGAAAUGCGUAGAUAUCGUGAGGAAGACCAGUGGCGAAGGCGCGUCUCUGGACAGUUCCUGACGCUGAGGCGCGAAGGCCAGGGGAGCAAACGGG